AACAGUUGAGGACAGUUUUUUCUCUUGCCUUUGCUAAAAGAUACAGGCAUGUCAGUUAUUUCCUACGACUCCACAAGUUAUUUAAAGGACAGAAUGGAAGAGAAUUGAGUAGUUCUGAUCAGAAGGGACCUUCAACAACCACGUAGUCCAACUGCAAGUAGUGGUGAGCAGAAUCAUGGAAUAUGCUGAUUUGGAAGAGACUCAUCAGGAUCAUCGAGUCCAACUCCUGGACCUGCACAGGGCACCCCAAGAG